rnacentral:snRNA from 1 species
AAAUGAGGGACAUUUGGCUGUGACAUCUAUCACCUCAUCACCUGCUAGGAAGAUUCAGCUGAUAUGGCUAAGUGGUGUCUUUCUCGCUCACUACUCCAGAUGCUUCAGUUCCAAAGAUGCAUGCUCAGUUGAAAAGAUGACUGUUCUUUAUAGAGGAGGAUGGUCAUAGGUGAAGGGCAUAUGAGCAGCUGAAUGCUCCUGUUAGAACCUCCAAACAUGCUCUGUGUAUUUUCUGUAUACCUAUUCCCACUUCCCUCCUACACUCACCUUCUCAGUUUGAAGUUGACUCUUCAAGUGG